AUUGAACGCUGGCGGCAGGCCUAACACAUGCAAGUCGAACGAGUGGCGGACGGGUGAGUAAUGUCUGGGAAACUGCCCGAUGGAGGGGGAUAACUACUGGAAACGGUAGCUAAUACCGCAUACCAUCGGAUGUACCCAGAUGGGAUUAGCUAGUAGGUGGGGUAACGGCUCACCUAGGCGACGAACCCUAGCUGGUCUGAGAGGAUGACAAGCCACUCUGGAACUGAGACACGUGCCAGACUCCUACGGAAGGCACCCUUGGCGAAUAUUGCACACUGGGCUCAAUCCUUAUGCAGCCAUGCCGCGUGUAUGAAGAAGGCCUUCGGGUUGUAAAGUACUUUCAGCGAGUAGGCGUUACCCGCAGAAGAAGCACCGGCUAACUCCGUGCCAGCAGCCGCGGUAAUUC
rnacentral:rRNA from 1 species